AACGCACAUUGCGCCCACUGGUAUUCCGGUGGGCAUGCCUGUUCGAGCGUCAUUAUCCUCCCUCAAACCCCCGGGUUUGGUGUUGGGCCCGCGUUGGUCGUCCGCGACCAACUGGCCUCAAAGACAAUGACGGCGUCCGUGGGACCCUCGGUGCAACGAGCUUCUAAGGAGCACGCGUCGAGUUUCAAGGACCUUCCGGGCCGGUCUAACCCUUCUAUUUAUCACAAGGUUGACCUCGGAUCAGGUAGGAAUACCCGCUGAACUUAA
rnacentral:misc_RNA from 2 species